rnacentral:lncRNA from 1 species
CUGCUUUCUUUUCCUUUUUUUUUUUUUUUAAUUGUUUAUUUAUUUUUGAGUGGGCGGGAAGGGCAGAGAGAGAGGGAGACAGAAUAUCCAAAGCCAGUUCUGCACUGACAGCAGACAGCCUGACGCCAGGCUCAAACUCACGAGACAACUAUGAGAUCAUGACCUGAGCUGAAGUUGGAUGCUUAACUAACUGAGCCAUCCAGGCUCUGCUGCUAUUUCUUGAGACCACUUCCCAAAAUAAACUACGUGCACACAAACCCUUGCUUUUUGAGGGGAAAGCAAGGCUAAGCAAACAAUACCUUAAGUAGUGAAACAACAGUUUUACACAUAAAAUAGUUUGGUUUUUAUUUUGUUAUGCUUCUUUUAUAACCCCUCCCUCAAGAAACCUACAAGGGAUCUAAGCAUAUGGCAUGACAAAUUGUCCUUUAACACCUCUUCAUUGCCUGACAUAAAAUAUUGUCAUGUAGAUGAAUCUCUAAUUAAUUUGCUUCAUAUUUUCAUUUUUAAAAAUAAUGUAUAGAUGUUAAAAAUAUCUGUACUUGGUUUUGUUGAUAAUUUAAAGUAAACAGAAAUUUCCACUUACCUUUGAAUUUUACUUUAAAUCUGGCUUUUCAUUUAUUCUAACUUAGUAUGUUGACUUAUUUUUAUGCUUGGCACUUGUUUUUAUGGAUUAUAUGAGAUGGUUCUGAUAGAAUCUAAUGUCAAGUUUACCAGAGUUGUCCCUUCUCUCUAGGAAAUUCUGACUGUUAACGCAUGCUUUAAAACAAAACAGGAGGAAUCUGAGAUGUCUGAGGACAGUCAAGCCUUGGAGUUUGUCCUCUGCUGUUGCUGCCUGGUUUCUGGGAAUCCAUGGAAAUAGGAAUUGUGGGUCAAAGGUUAAAGGAGAUCAAUAUUUGUGAAGAGAAGAAACACAUGAAAGUCAAAAUACGAAGUAUGGCCAGAGACCUACACAGGAACUUUCAGAAGAGGAACCAGUUGCCUUUGUUACGGUAUAUCUCAUUUCCCUAUUUUCUUUCUUUAAGAAGAAAAGAGUACCAAACUUAAUAUAUAUAUAUAUAUAUAUAUAUAUAUAUAUAUAUAUAUAUAACAAAUAAUAGCUCCUUCUUCAGAAUAACUGAAAUUCUAAGAGCAGUAAGAAUGGUGUUUUUAAGUAGCCACAUACUUCCACAUCUCUGGAUAAUUUAGGGAAACUGGAAUUCUUUGAGUUUGCGUCCAUAUUUUCUUAACUAGGAAAUAAUGUUGGUGGACAUACAUCAAUGCCAUUUUAUUAAUAAUUAUUGAUUGAAAUGUGAAUUGGAGAAGUAAAUAAAUAUUAGUGAUUCAUCUCUCUCCA